rnacentral:lncRNA from 1 species
CUGGACAAGAAUUUGGGAUGCACCAAGUGCAGAUCAUCUGAGAAAUGUAUUGCAAGCAGCGUUUGGUUAUUACACCCAAAGAGGCCUGGGACUCAUACUCAUCCUUCAGUGCAAUAUUUACUUAAGAUUGUCAUAUAUGAGGGAUAUAAGAAGUUUCUUCACCUAAAGAGAUAAACAUGUUAAAAUUGUGUAAUUAAACUUUCUAUGAAGAAUGAAAAAGUGAAGUCAUUUUAACAGUCUAAUAACAAGUGGCUGUGUAGAGACAGUGAAAAAGGGCUAGUUCUUUCCUGGACCUGGGGAGAAGCUUGUGAACAGUUAUCUGACAGAUGGAAAAAGGCUAUGGAAACAAUAACAAAUAGGGCACCAGAGACAAUAUAAGAUCAGCCAACAGAUGGGACAGUUUGUCUUUGUAUUCAUGUCAGGCUGUUUGUUCUAGGAUGUGUACCGUAUGAUAUAAUAAAAAUGUAACUUUAUUUUUGUCUCCUACUUUUAGGUAGGUUCUCUAGAAGAGUGUCUUGAGUUGGAACUCUCGUAUAAGUGAUGUACUGAAAGGCUAUUCUUAGGAGAAGGGGAGUGAAGGAAGCAAGACAGGCCAGAGAAAGAAAACAAAUGUUAUAAAUCAGGCACAAAUGUCUAUAGAAGUCGUGUCUAGAUUAUAAUGAGGAAAAGAUCAUAUUCAGAUGGAGACUUGACUACUGAUAUGCAAAAAUUUUCCACCAAAAAUCCUUAUUUAUAUACUUUCAUUCUUAACAAGAAUAGCAGGUAAGCUAUAGCAAAUUGGGAGAAGGAAGAUGACACUUGAGGCAAGAUGGACAGCUGGAGUCAGAAAGAUGAUGAAGGCUUGACCUCAGGCAGUUGCAGUGGGGAAGGAGAAGCCUAAGUGGAGGGCAAGGACCCUAGAAAGGAAGAAUAAAAGAACAAUUUUAUUCCCAGUUCUGCUACUGACUGUUUUGGUACCGUUGGGCAAAUUACGGCAUCUUUCUGCAUCUUGAGUUCUUUAUCUGACACCAAGAAGUGGGAAUCCUUGCCUAAUAACGCUAGACGAUUGUUGUGAGACUCUAAUAAAUCUGCUUAGAGAAAAUGAAAGAGCUUUCAAUUAACUCAAUCCUCAAAAUAGUUCAUCAGAGGAAUGCUGCAGGAUGAAUGGCUGUUUAACCAGUUCUACUCCCAGAUGUGGCUGGAU